GCCCGAAGCUCAGCGGGAGGGAGCGUCUGCCUUGCAUGCAGAAGGCCCUGGGUUCAAGUCCUGCCGUCUUUAGAGGGGCU